AGCAGUAGCCACGGUAAUACGAAGGGUGCAAGCGUUAAUCGGAAUUACUGGGCGUAAAGCGUGCGUAGGCGGUUUGUUAAGUCUGUUGUGAAAUCCCCGGGCUCAGCCUGGGAAUGGCAAUGGAUACUGGCAAGCUAGAGUGUGCCAGAGGAUGGUGGAAUUCCCGGUGUAGCGGUGAAAUGCGUAGAGAUCGGGAGGAACAUCAGUGGCGAAGGCGGCCAUCUGGGACAACACUGACGCUGAUGCACGAAAGCGUGGGGAGCAAACAGGAUUAGAUACCCCCGUAGUCCCUGUCUCUUAUAC
rnacentral:rRNA from 1 species